rnacentral:rRNA from 1 species
CGGGAAUGGAUUAGUGGCGAACGGGUGAGGAACACGUGAGAAACCUGCCUUUCAUUCUGGGAUAACACGGGGAAACCUGUGCUAAUACCGUAUGUGCCCUUCGGGGGAAAGAUUUAUCGCCAAAGGAUUGGCCCGCGUUGGAUUAGGUAGUUGGUGGGGUAAUGGCCUACCAAGCCGACAAUCCAUAGCUGGUUUGAGAGGAUGAUCAGCCACACUGGGACUGAGACACGGCCCAGACUCC